rnacentral:rRNA from 1 species
UGGGGAAUAUUGCACAAUGGGCGCAAGCCUGAUGCAGCCAUGCCGCGUGUAUGAAGAAGGCCUUCGGGUUGUAAAGUACUUUCAGCGGGGAGGAAGGCGAUAAGGUUAAUAACCUUGUCGAUUGACGUUACCCGCAGAAGAAGCACCGGCUAACUCCGUGCCAGCAGCCGCGGUAAUACGGAGGGGGCAAGCGUUACUCGGCAUUACUGGGCGUAAAGCGCACGCAGGCGGUCUGUCAAGUCGGAUGUGAAAUCCCCGGGCUCAACCUGGGAACUGCAUUCGAAACUGGCAGGCUAGAGUCUUGUAGAGGGGGGUAGAAUUCCAGGUGUAGCGGUGAAAUGCGUAGAGAUCUGGAGGAAUACCGGUGGCGAAGGCGGCCCCCUGGACAAAGACUGACGCUCAGGUGCGAAAGCGUGGGGAGCAAACA